rnacentral:rRNA from 1 species
AUUGAACGCUGGCGGCAUGCCUUACACAUGCAAGUCGAACGGCAGCACGGGAGCAAUCCUGGUGGCGAGUGGCGAACGGGUGAGUAAUAUAUCGGAACGUGCCCAGUCGUGGGGGAUAACGCAGCGAAAGCUGUGCUAAUACCGCAUACGAUCUAUGGAUGAAAGCGGGGGACUCGCAAGGGCCUCGCGCGAUUGGAGCGGCUGAUAUCAGAUUAGGUAGUUGGUGGGGUAAAGGCCUACCAAGCCUGCGAUCUGUAGCUGGUCUGAGAGGACGACCAGCCACACUGGAACUGAGACACGGUCCAGACUCCUACGGGAGGCAGCAGUGGGGAAUUUUGGACAGUGGGCGCAAGCCUGAUCCAGCAAUGCCGCGUGCAGGAUGAAGGCCUUCGGGUUGUAAACUGCUUUUGUACGGAACGAAAAGGCUCUGGUGAACACCUGGAGUUGAUGACGGUACCGUAAGAAUAAGCACCGGCUAACUACGUGCCAGCCGCCGCCGUAA